AACGAACGCUGGCGGCAUGCCUAACACAUGCAAGUCGAACGAGACCUUCGGGUCUAGUGGCGCACGGGUGCGUAACGCGUGGGAACCUGCCCUUAGGUUCGGAAUAACUCCCCGAAAGGGGUGCUAAUACCGGAUAAUGUCUUCGGACCAAAGAUUUAUCGCCUUUGGAUGGGCCCGCGUUGGAUUAGCUAGUUGGUAGGGUAAAAGCCUACCAAGGCGACGAUCCAUAGCUGGUCUGAGAGGAUGAUCAGCCACACUGGGACUGAGACACGGCCCAGACUCCUACGGGAGGCAGCAGUGGGGAAUAUUGGAAAAUGGGCGAAAGCCUGAUCCAGCAAGGCCGCGUGAGUGAUGAAGGCCUUAGGGUUGUAAAGCGCUUUUACCCGGGAUGAUAAUGACAGUACCGGGAGAAUAAGCUCCGGCUAACUCCGUG
rnacentral:rRNA from 1 species